GACAGAGGGGGCAAGCGUUGCUCGGAAUUACUGGGCGUAAAGGGCGCGUAGGCGGGAUGGCAAGUCGGUCGUGAAAUCCCUCGGCUCAACUGAGGAGCGUCGAUCGAAACUGCCGUUCUUGAGGGUUGCAGAGGAGACUGGAAUUCCCGGUGUAGCGGUGAAAUGUGUAGAGAUCGGGAGGAACACCGGUGGCGAAGGCGGGUCUCUGGGCAACUCCUGACGCUGAGGCGCGAAGGCGUGGGGAGCAAACAGG
rnacentral:rRNA from 1 species